rnacentral:rRNA from 1 species
GACGAACGCUGGCGGCGUGCUUAACACAUGCAAGUCGAACGGUAAGGCCCUUCGGGGUACACGAGUGGCGAACGGGUGAGUAACACGUGGGUGAUCUGCCCUGCACUUCGGGAUAAGCCUGGGAAACUGGGUCUAAUACCGGAUAGGACCACUGCCUACAUGGGUGGUGGUGGAAAGCUGUUGCGGUGUGGGAUGGGCCCGCGGCCUAUCAGCUUGUUGGGGGGGUGAUGGCCUACCAAGGCGACGGCGGGUAGCCGGCCUGAGAGGGUGACCGGCCACACUGGGACUGAGAUACGGCCCAGACUCCUACGGGAGGCAGCAGUGGGGAAUAUUGCACAAUGGGCGCAAGCCUGAUGCAGCGACGCCGCGUGAGGGAUGACGGCCUUCGGGUUGUAAACCUCUUUCAGCACCGACGAAGCGCAAGUGACGGUAGGUGCAGAAGAAGGACCGGCCAACUACGUGCCAGCCGCCGCCGUAA